rnacentral:rRNA from 1 species
CGAACGGAGAUAUGAUUUCGGUUGUAUCUUAGUGGCCAACGGGUGAGUAACGGAUGAGCGACCUGACUCUUAGAGGGGGAUAACGCUCAAAAACGGGUGCUAAUACCGCAUAACACCACGACCUGGCAUCAUGACGAGGUCAAAGGAGCAAUCCGCUGAGAGAGGGGCUCGCGUCCCAUUAGAUAGAUGGCGGGGUAACGGCCCACCAUGUCAACGAUGGGUAGCCGAGCUGAGAGGCUGAUCGGCCACACUGGAACUGAGACACGGUCCAG